UCAUGUUAAUUCUACUGCAAACAAUAUCCCUACUAGACAAAGGUUGAGGCAUCGAGGUGGAGGUGCGGGUGGAGGCAGCUCUGCAGGAAGUGGGCCUUCUUCUACUGCCUUUAGUCGGCAGCCUCCCCCUCCACCACCUCCAUUUCCUGUGUUUGACAUGCAGCCUUAUGCUAAUAUGGUACCACCUAUGCUGGACACUCCUGUGAGAGGAACGAGACCAGGAGGAGGAGUUGGGGGUUCCCAGCCACACACCAGCAAUGAUCAUUCUUCUCCAAGGAAUAAUUCAAGAAGGGGUAACUAUGGGACUCGCCCUCGUGGAGAUGGGCCAUAUCAUAACCCUCCACCACCUCCAUUUCCUGUGUUUGACAUGCAGCCUUAUGCUAAUAUGGUACCACCUAUGCUGGACACUCCUGUGAGAGUAACGAGACCAGGAGGAGGAGUUGGGGGUUCCCAGCCACACACCAGCAAUGAUCAUUCUUCUCCAAGGAAUAAUUCAAGAAGGGGUAACUAUGGGACUCGCCCUCGUGGAGAUGGGCCGUAUCAUAAUAAUCAUGGAGGCAGGAGGGAUCAAGAUCGCAGAGAUGUUCAUCUUUCCCAUCAAUAUGUUCCUCCCAUGGGAUAUAUGCCAUCCCCAUUAGCCCCUGGCCCCACACCGUUCAUGGCGCCACCCGUAAGAGUUUUUCCUGGCCAAAUGGGGUUUGGUAAGUCUACUAUGCAUGCUGUCCUUUGAUAAUUUGACGAUAUGAACUUGUUUUGUUGCU
rnacentral:lncRNA from 1 species